rnacentral:rRNA from 1 species
GAAUCUGCCUAGAGGUUGGGGACAACCACUGGAAACGGUGGCUAAUACCCAAUGUGCCUAUUCGUGAAAGAUUUAUCGCCUCUAGAUGAGCUCGCGUCUGAUUAGCUAGUUGGUAGGGUAAAAGCCUACCAAGGCAUCGAUCAGUAGCUGGUUUGAGAGGAUGACCAGCCACACUGGGACUGAGACACGGCCCAGACUCCUACGGGAGGCAGCAGUGGGGAAUUUUCCGCAAUGGGCGAAAGCCUGACGGAGCAAGACCGCGUGAGGGAGGAAGGCUCUUGGGUCGUAAACCUCUUUUGUCAGGGAAGAACACAAUGACGGUACCUGACGAAUCAGCCUCGGCUAACUCCGUGCCAGCAGCCGCGGUAAUACGGAGGAUGCAAGCGUUAUCCGGAAUGAUUGGGCGUAAAGCGUCCGCAGGUGGCAAUGUAAGUCUGCUGUCAAAGCGUCUGGCUCAACCAGAUAAAGGCAGUGGAAACUACAUAGCUAGAGUAAGGUAGGGGUAGAGGGAAUUCCUGGUGUAGCGGUGAAAUGCGUAGAGAUCAGGAAGAACACCGGUGGCGAAAGCGCUCUGCUGGACCUUAACUGACACUGAGGGACGAAAGCUAGAGGAGCG